UUGUAUGGUUAAGUGACUAAGCGUAUACGGUGGAUGCCUAGGCAGUCAGAGGCGAUGAAGGACGUGUUAAUCUGCGUUAAGCUGUGGGGAGUUGAUAAAAAGCGUUAAUCCACAGAUUUCCGAAUGGGGGAACCCACCUUACUAAGUAAGGUAUCGUUAAGUGAAUACAUAGCUUAACGAAGCGAACCGGGAGAACUGAAACAUCUAAGUACCCCGAGGAAAAGAAAUCAAUAGAGAUACCCUUAGUAGCGGCGAGCGAACGGGGUCUAGCCCUUAAGCAGUUUGGAAGUUAAUGGAAGAAUCUGGAAAGUUUCACGAUACAGGGUGAUAGUCCCGUACAUGAAAACGACCUUACUGUGAAAUCGAGUAGGACGGCACACGUGAUAUGCUGUUUGAAUAUGGGAGGACCAUCUUCCAAGGCUAAAUACUACUGACUGACCGAUAGUGAACCAGUACCGUGAGGGAAAGGCGAAAAGAACCCCUGUGAGGGGAGUGAAAUAGAACCUGAAACCGUAUACGUACAAGCAGUGGGAGCAGACUUGUUCUGUGACUGCGUACCUUUUGUAUAAUGGGUCAACGACUUAAUUUCAGUAGCAAGGUUAAGCGAAUAGCGGAGCCGUAGGGAAACCGAGUGUUAACUGCGCGAAUAGUUGCUGGGAUUAGACCCGAAACCCGGUGAUCUAGCCAUGGGCAGGUUGAAGGUUGAGUAACAUCAACUGGAGGACCGAACCGACUAAUGUUGAAAAAUUAGCGGAUGACUUGUGGCUGGGGGUGAAAGGCCAAUCAAACCGGGAGAUAGCUGGUUCUCCUCGAAAGCUAUUUAGGUAGCGCCUCGCGUCUAACUAUUGGGGGUAGAGCACUGUUAAGGCUAGGGGGUCAUCCCGACUUACCAACCCUUUGCAAACUCCGAAUACCAAUAAGUUCAAUCGCGGGAGACACACGGCGGGUGCUAACGUCCGUCGUGGAAAGGGAAACAACCCAGACCGUCAGCUAAGGUCCCAAAGUGUAUGUUAAGUGGGAAACGAUGUGGAAAGGCUCAGACAGCCAGGAAGUUGGCUUAGAAGCAGCCAUCUUUUAAAGAAAGCGUAAUAGCUCACUGGUCGAGUCGGUCUGCGCGGAAGAUUUAACGGGGCUAAACAUACCACCGAAGCUACGGAUGCAAGACUUGUUCUUGCAUGGUAGAGGAGCGUUCUGUAAGCCGUUGAAGGUGAGUUGAGAAGCUUGCUGGAGGUAUCAGAAGUGCGAAUGUUGACAUGAGUAACGAUAAUGGGGGUGAAAAACCUCCACGCCGAAAGACCAAGGGUUCCUGUCCAACGUUAAUCGGGGCAGGGUGAGUCGACUCCUAAGGCGAGGCCGAAAGGCGUAGUCGAUGGGAAACUGGUUAAUAUUCCAGUACUCGCUUAUAUUGCGAUGGGGUGACGGAGAAGGUUAGGCUAGCAUGGCGAUGGUUGUCCAUGUUUAAGGUAGUAGGCAAGUGACUUAGGCAAAUCCGGGUCGCUCUCUUUAGUGAGAAUGUUGAGAACUGAUGACGAGUCUCUACGGAGAUGAAGUAGUUGAUACCCGGCUUCCAGGAAAAACCUCUAAGCUUCAGAUAUGAGAGAAUCGUACCCCAAACCGACACAGGUGGUUAGGUAGAGAAUACUAAGGCGCUUGAGAGAACUCGGGUGAAGGAACUAGGCAAAAUGGUACCGUAACUUCGGGAGAAGGUACGCCAAUGAUGGUGAAGGACUUGCUCCGUAAGCUAUUGUUGGUCGCAGAGAAAUGGUGGCUGCAACUGUUUAUUAAAAACACAGCACUGUGCAAAAUCGAAAGAUGACGUAUACGGUGUGACGCCUGCCCGGUGCCGGAAGGUUAAUUGAUUGGGUUAGACUUAGGUCGAAGCUCAUGAUCGAAGCCCCGGUAAACGGCGGCCGUAACUAUAACGGUCCUAAGGUAGCGAAAUUCCUUGUCGGGUAAGUUCCGACCUGCACGAAUGGCGUAAUGAUGGCCACGCUGUCUCCACCCGAGACUCAGUGAAAUUGAAAUCGCUGUUAAGAUGCAGUGUACCCGCGGCUAGACGGAAAGACCCCGUGAACCUUUACUAUAGCUUGGCACUGAACAUUGAACCUACAUGUGUAGGAUAGGUGGGAGACUGUGAAACAUUGUCGCUAGAUGAUGUGGAGUCUACCUUGAAAUACCACCCUUGUACGUUUGAUGUUCUAACGUAGG
rnacentral:rRNA from 1 species